rnacentral:rRNA from 1 species
GACAGAGGUCCCGAGCGUUAGGCGGAAUCACUGGGCUUAAAGCGUGCGCAGGCGGUUGUGCAAGACAGAUGUGAAAUCCCCGGGCUCAACCUGGGAAUUGCAUUUGUGACUGCACGGCUAGAGUGUGUCAGAGGGGGUAGAAUUCCACGUGUAGCAGUGAAAUGCGUAGAGAUGUGGAGGAAUACCGAUGGCGAAGGCAGCCCCCUGGGAUAACACUGACGCUCAUGCACGAAAGCGUGGGGAGCAAACAG